rnacentral:lncRNA from 1 species
GAAGUUUCCGGUUCCGGUGUCAGCGGCGGUUGAAUUGCCAUGGCAAUGCGGUGGGCGCGCGCUUGUCGUGUUGGUCUCUUGGGAGGUAGCGGGGCUAGGCCGGGCGGGUAUCCGCCUCUCCCAGCUUAGGUGAGCGUCCCCGGGCGCCUCCGGAGCGCCGCGGCCGCAUGCAGUUCGUCGUGGCGGGGAGCCGGAGCCUGACCGGGGUUCCAGCGCUCGGGCCGUAGCCUUGGCUCCUGGACUUUCCCUGGCUCCGCCGCCACGUGGGAGCUGAGGCUCUGGGGCUUCCGCCUCCGGCGCGCGAUUAUUUCUCUAGAACAGUUUUCAUUUUUAAAAUUUGUAAAGCGCUUUUGCCUGUGUGAUUUCCUCUGGGUUUUUUUUUUUUUUCUUCCUUUUUGUAGAGACGGAAUUGGCGGCGGGGGCGGGGGGUCGAUGUCUCACUUUUUUGCCCAGGCUGGUCUCGAACUCCUGGCUUCAAGGGAUCCUCCUGCCUCGGCCUCUUAAAGUGCUGGGAUUACAGGCGUGAGCCACCGCCCCCGGCCGCCUCUGAGUUUCCAGCCUCGUUGGCCCUCCAGCCUUUUAACCUGUUGGGCCUAGGAUCAGGAAAGGUUUGUUGAAUGGGGAACUAAGAAGUGAAUUCGUUCGUUCGACAAACGUUUCCUGAGCAGCCGCUGGGUGCUAGGCGCAGUGCCAGCGCGGAAUGUCCAGGGAGACCUGGUGCCCAAAGCUUGGACCCAUCGUGAGAAAUGAGAAGCAGAUACAAAGCAGUGUGGGAGUGCAGAGGAGACAAAGCAAGCCUCAUCAGGCCCAUUGCUUGCUCUGCUCUCCCUUGUACUUACCAGUGCUUGACAAUAUACAGUUAUUUACUAGCUUGGUUAUUGACUUCCUACCCAGCACUCAGUUUUAUUCACUGCUGUAUCCUCAGUGCCUAGGACGAUGCUUGGAACGUGAUUCAUUGAUUCCAGGUAAAUCAGAGGAACAAGCAACAUGAACAGAAAUAUGUAGAAAAAGCUAUUAUGCAGAAGCAUAAUUGUUGUUUCAGAAGUCCAGCAUCUGGUGCACUUAACAAUAGAGAAUAUAUUAAACUCUUUCCAAAAUAACCUGUUGUUCCUACCUGUGUUGUAAGUGUUUUGUUUGUUUUUAAGUAAAUAUUGGUGAUUUGUUGCCAAAAACCUAAACUGUUUGUUGCUGUCAACUUAAAUAACGAACAGAGAGAGGCUCUCUAAAAGAAAAUGGCAUUUAUUCAGGAAUAGAGCACUGCAAUGAGAAAAUGCAUGCGAUAGUUAACUGUGUGUAUCCUGGGAGAUAGAGGAAGACAAAGGUCUUUAAAGGAAAAAUGAGGAGGGUUACAUAAUUGUUUUGAGAUAAUUAUUUUUGA